ACGUAGGGGGCAAGCGUUGUCCGGAAUCAUUGGGCGUAAAGAGCGCGUAGGCGGUCCGGUAAGUCCGCUGUGAAAGUCAAGGGCUCAACCCUUGAAUGCCGGUGGAUACUGUCGGGCUAGAGUCCGGAAGAGGCGAGUGGAAUUCCUGGUGUAGCGGUGAAAUGCGCAGAUAUCAGGAGGAACACCAAUGGCGAAGGCAGUGUCCUGGGGAGUACCUGACGCUCAGGUGCGAAAGCCAGGGGAGCGAACGGGA
rnacentral:rRNA from 1 species